UGUAAAAAGAUUAAUUAAAUCUAAUCAAGUGUUGAAUUAGAUCAGGUCAGUAUUUUUCUAAAUCAAUCUCAAUAGUUGUAGUUUGAUCAAGUCCAUGUGUUUGACCCUAAUAAAUGGAUCAUGGUCAUAGCUUCGUGGUUGAACCUGAAUCUUCUGGUGAACCAAAUCGAAACUAAUUAAUCAGUUGGUGUCUAAGAUAAGUUUG
rnacentral:lncRNA from 1 species